GCUCAAGAAGACUGAGAAACACUUUCUUUGCAAUGUCAUAGUUUUGUGUCUAAUUGGUAUGAGAAUUGCCUAAGAAACCUAUCUAAUUGGAAAGAGGCCUAGUUUAAGUGUCUAAGUGAAAGAUUGUGCCAACUUUAGGUGUCUCUGUAUGUAUUACACCUUAGUAAAACCUAGAUAUAGAAAGAAGACAACAUCAGAUAAUUAAGGACCUCAACCUGAAGAAGCUAAAAACAAAUGGCGCUCCAUUUUCUCCUCUAAAAAGAGACGAAAGCUGACCCUUCUCCUGGACUCUAUCAAUGGCAUACCACUCUCCAUUGCUCAAAAAGAACGAUCAGAUAUGCAUACCCAAACUCACACACGCGAAAAUACACAAACAUAUUAAGAAGCUCGAAUCCGAAAAAGUAGUUUCAAACAAAAAUCAAAAGGAAGCUGGAAUUUGAUGUUCGAAUUGGUUGGCUUGCUAUUGCUGAGUUUUCCGUUGAAGAUGUGCUGUUGAGUUCCGUUUUCAAUUCCAACCUUUAUUUGGGCCCUAAGUUCUAGCUUGAUAGCUUGUUGAGUAACUGAGCUCCAUUCCAUAUCCUUGAUUUUUUUAAUUGGCCAUUUACAACUGUUCUGGAUUGUUUGUGUAUGUCUUCCUAUUCCUAUGGUCCUCUUAUUUGAUUAUGAAUGAAUAUUUGGGGGCUCAUUCUAUGAAUAUGCUAAAUUUUGUGGAUUUAAAAUUGAUGGGUUUUGUAUUUUUAAGGUAUUAUUGGACAACACUGAAUCAGAAGAAUGAUUUUUGAUUAAUGUGCCUGAAAUUUUUGUUCUCUGAGUUUUUUUUUUCGAUUUUUCUUGUGGAGGGGGACUCCGAUUUCUUUGUAAAAAAUGGUGGGUCUGCUAUUUUUCCAGUUUUUUUUUUUUGGAAAUUGGAUUCCUUCCUUCGAUUCUGUUGAUGUCUCCUUUUUAAAGGAAGAAGAGAAUUAUGAUUUUAGAAUUUUGUAAUCCAAUUUGUUUUUCUGCUUGUACUUUGCUUUGGUGGUAAUGAUUUUGAGCAUGGGGUCUUAUUGCGCCCUAGGGCUGCCUCAAUUUUGCUGAAGUUGAAUGAAGCAUAAUUCUUUUUUCUAUGAAAGCAAAGCUAAAAAGCUCUAUGAUUUUGGUUAUUCUCCUUUGCUUUUUUUACUUUUCCCAAUGCUUUUAUAUAGCAAAUCAAUAACCGAGAAGAUGAGUUGAGCUUAACACUAUGUUAUAUUUGUAGACUUUCUGGUGAAUUGCUAUUUUAUUUUGUAUUAUCGUCUAAGUAGCCAAAUUCCAGGAGCACCGUUUGUUAGUAAUAUGUAUCCUUAAGCUUAAUCUUUGUGCAUUUACCCACAAUUCAUGUCUAUAAAUUUUUGAGCUUGUCACAUGAUCUCAAAUUAAUUUUAGGAAGUAAAUAUGAACAUACGUAGUUUGCUUUAGGCACGCAAUUAAAUUAUUACAACUACGGGUACGAUUCCCGUGACGUGAUUGUGAUACCUAAUUUAAAAUUAGAUUAAAGUAGAAGUGUCUUUAGUUUGCCUCAGUGAAAUACCAAUCUUUUCUUUUUUUUUUUAAAAAAAAAAAUAAUAUUUGGGGUGUACCUGACACAAAUAAAAAUCCUAUAAUUUAUGGCCCUCACAUAAAUAUAAAAUUAGUAUAGAAAAUGCCUUGAAAUUUCGUAGUUUGCUUUAUGUGCGUUAAUUAAAUAAUUGUGAUAGCUACGGGUACGAUUCCCGUGACAUAGUCGUGACGCUUAAUUACUAAAAUCCGGGGGUACAUUUAUGUGACCCGGCCACAAUUUAAUCUUUAAUAAUUUAAACAUGUUGUAGAUCGUGGGUACGGUUCUCGUGACAUGAUUCGCAGUGUGUAUCAAACAAACAAGUGUACGACAAUCGUAACUUGUUCCAGAAUAAUUCCAUAAAAUAAUUAAAAGAGGUCAUAAAGUUUAAAAGGCUCAAUAGGUUUAAAUAUGUAAUAAAUCAGAUAAUUAGACAAUUAUUAAUAGUUAAGAGACCGUGUUAGAAUCACGGAACCCGGGAAUGCCUAACACCUUCUCCAGGGUUAACAAAAUUCAUUAUCUAGAAUUCCUGGUUUCGCAGACUUUUAAAUAAAGUCGAUUUUCCUCGAUUUGGUAUUUAAAAUAAACCGUUGACUUGGGACACCACAAUAAAUAUCCCAAGUGGCGACUCUGAAAUAAAUAAUUAAUCCCAUUUCGAUUAAUAUCACUUUAAUUGGAAAAACUCUCUUAUAUCCCCUCUCGGGUGGUAAAAAAGGAGGUGCGACAGCUCUGGCGACUCCGCUGGGGACUAUAACCCAGAGUUUCGAUUCAGGGUUCAAGAAUUCNNNNNNNNNNNNNNNNNNNNNNNNNNNNNNNNNNNNNNNNNNNNNNNNNNNNNNNNNNNNNNNNNNNNNNNNNNNNNNNNNNNNNNNNNNNNNNNNNNNNNNNNNNNNNNNNNNNNNNNNNNNNNNNNNNNNNNNNNNNNNNNNNNNNNNNNNNNNNNNNNNNNNNNNNNNNNNNNNNNNNNNNNNNNNNNNNNNNNNNNNNNNNNNNNNNNNNNNNNNNNNNNNNNNNNNNNNNNNNNNNNNNNNNNNNNNNNNNNNNNNNNNNNNNNNNNNNNNNNNNNNNNNNNNNNNNNNNNNNNNNNNNNNNNNNNNNNNNNNNNNNNNNNNNNNNNNNNNNNNNNNNNNNNUUGAAAAAUUGAAGUCCAAAAAUUUUUUCACUCUUCUUUUGAAGUACUUUUGUAAAUAAAUAAAAACUUAGAAAUCCAAAACAUUUUCUUAAAAGUCUCUCUUUCGAAGAUUAAGCGGCAACAUCCAAAAGCCAAAAAUAUUUUCUUUCUUUUUUAGGAAAAGAUAAAACAAUUUAAAAUUCAAACAAAAAUAUUUUAUUUUUAUUUUUAAAAUUCCCAAAGUUCAAAUCAAGAGCAAAUGAAUUUUUUUUAGACGUUUUUCUUUCAUAAACAAAACAAAAAUCCAAAAAAUAUAUUUCCUUUCUUCCUUUAAAGCAUUUCUUUCAAAAAAUCCAACAAAAAUAAAGGUUAGCUUAUUUACUCCAUUUUCGAUCUUCCCGAACUAUGCAAGAUCUGAUUCGUGCGGCGUCAUGAUACGUAGGCAAUCCCCAUCGUAUUCGAUCAUAGCUAUAAAAUAAAAUCGAGUGAAAAAUAAGUUGAAUAAAAAAGAGAGAAAGAAAAAUUGAGUGGAAAAAAAAGGAAAAAAAGAGAGGGACAAGAAAUAAAAGAGUGACAAACAAAAAGAGAAAAAGAGAGUGCCAAAAAAUAAAAGAGCAACAGAAAUGAAAUGAAGAAAAAAAAUCAAGAGUGAUUAAAGAGAGGCAGAAAUAAAAGGAAAGAGGUACAUACUGAAAGAGUUAGGUAAGGCCGGGAUGAAACAUGCAACCGUUCAAACACAUAGUAGAAGCGUUUAACUGUUAGGUACAUUGCAUCUUAACGUGCGAUUUCCUAUAUGUUAAAUGUCUCAAAACUAACAAGCUUGUUGGGUGUGCAAACUAGCCAGGUUGUGGUGGUUGGUGUUGUUGGCAGUCUAGCCUCCCCUCUUUCACAAGAUCCAACGGCAGAGAUGGCCUUCGCAAGCAACCUACCAAUCAUAGGUCCUGAGGAUAGUCUGGCAAGGGCUAUUCCACAACCAGAAUCAGCAUUUGCUAAAGAGAAUAGGAUGUUGCGUCUCCGCUUAUUGGAAAUGUGGGACGCCUAGUCUAAUGGUAGGGAACCGUCAAGUGCAAUCCCUGGGCUCCCUGAGUUGAUCCCUAGGUCUGGUGAGGUUACCAACACCCCUGUGCCCAACCCGCUCAUCCCAUGCGGGCACCUUCCAAUGCUAUCCAAUGUUCCUGGCAUGCCUUCUGUGGUUCGCCCCCAGGUGCCAGUUUCCAGGGCACCUCCAAUAUUGUUCUCUGCAGCACCAGUCUACACCAGAGCACAACCAACUUUACCACGGCCGUAUAUUGAGCCUCCAAUGUUCACCUUUCAGGGUCCACAGCUUCAAUCAGAAAUAACAUAUGUGACCACAUACUCUUUCACUCAACCUUCGUAAUAUGAUCUCUCGGUGGAGCAAGAAAAGGUUGUUAAGAAUCCCGAGCAAGAGGAAAUGGCUCAGAAGAUGAAGAGCCUGGAACAAAGCCUGAAAAAUAUGCAAGGUCUGAGUGGACAAAAGGGUGUCUCAUACACUGACCUCUGUAUGUUUCCCCAUGUCCACUUGCCAGUUGGCUUCAAGAUGUCAAAAUUUGAAAGUACAACGGGCAUGGAGACCCGGUCGCUCAUCUGAAACAAUAUUGUAUCCAGUUGAGGGGUGCUGGUGGAAAAGAGGAGCUGUUAAUAGCCUAUUUUGGGGAAAGCCUUACAGGAAUCAUUUCUGAGUGGUAUACGGAUCAAUAAAUUACGCUUUGGCACGUGUGGGACGAUAUGGCCCGAGAUUUUGUCCGCUAAUUCUAGUAUAAUGUGGAUAUCACUCCUGACAGAAACACUUUGUCCAAUUUAAAAAAGAAAAAUGCGGAAAACUUCCGUGAAUAUGCUGUCAAAUGGCGUGAGCAAGCUGCCAGGGUAAAGCCUCCAAUUGAUGAAAUUAAAAUGGUCAUGGUCUUUCUACAGGCCCAAGAGGCGGACUACUUCCAGAACAUGAUGUCCGUUGUGGGAAAGCCAUUUGUUGAGGCUAUCAAAAUUGGGGAGAUGGUAGAAAGUGGGCUAAAAAGGGUCGAAUCUUGAGUCAUGCUGCUUUUAAAGACACAUCACCAGGUGUUCAAAAUGGUUCAGAGGGUUUGAUAAAUGGAAAUGAGAGAGAAUAAGGAGCCAUGAUGGCUUCCAGCUCGAGCGGGGCCCGCAGGUCAUUCAGCUAAUCAUAUAUGCUUCCUGAGGUCCCUCAACAUUAUUAUCCCAUUCAAGAUGUUGCUUAUGUCAUGGCAUCACCUCCUUAUGCGGUGAUGAACGCGCAACCUUACCAGCGGCCACAACAUUAUCCAUGAAACCGAGCUCCACCUCCCAGAAAUACCCAUCCUUACCAAGCUCCAUAUAAUCCUCAACCAAAUGAUCCCCAAUACAAUCCUCGCCCAAGAGAUCCUUUCAGAAAGAAUUAGUUCACCCCUAUUCGUAUUCAAGCUUGUUCCAAAGGCUAAUCAGGCUAAAUCUAUUGCAGCUAGUGGCCCCAAACCGGCCGAACACCGAGUCCCCAUCGCACUGAGCUGAUGCUAGAUAUGAAUACCACUCUGGAGCAGUGGGACAUAGUACAGAGGACCAUUGGACCCUUAAAAGGGCAGUAGAAGACUUGAUUGAAGCUGAAAGAAUCGCUUUUUGGGAUGAAGAAGCUCCUGAUAUGAUGAACAAUUUGUUGCCUGCUCAUAACACUGGGCCAAUAGUCUGAAUGAUUUGUAAAGAUGAGGAAUUUUAUCCGGCACUAAAGGCUAUUGCAGCCAUUGCCGAAACAGAAGAAAAGCCGAAAGACGGUCGCCAAGCCUGAAAGUUCCCCAUCAGACGGGAGUCUUGGCAGCCAGUCUUGCUAUCCUUUCUGCAUCUGAAUUAUCUUAGGGUGUGAUCCGGAUAUUUUACUUUAUUGUUUUACUUUAUGAUGUAAACCCUUCUAUCUUCAAAAAAAAAAAAUCAAAUGAAAUUCUUCCAGGGAUGUCUCUUUUCUUAAUUUUGUCAUUUUUCUUAUUCUCUUUUCAGUUCUAUUAAAUGCAGAUUUCAAUAGCAUGACAUGCUUGCGGACUUCAUGCCCAGAUCCUGAAACGCUAUCAGACUUUGAAAUAAUGAAUCAAGAAUCAGAUUGCAAUGAAGAUAAGUUUAAAGAAAUAAAACAAAGAGUUGGAACAGUUGAAGGAAAAUUGGUACCAGAUUGGAAAGGUCCAUACAUGGUAACAAGAGUACUGCCAAAAGAUAGCGUUGUACGUGGGACACAUCGAAGAAAUGUCCCUGAAACAACUAUCCAUGCAAAUGCAGAAAAAGGUAAUAUGUUGGAUCUUUUAUACAAUACUAAUGAUCUCCGGUUGGGAUGAAGAAGACUUUCUUUCUUAGUAUCCAAAUAUUCAACCCUUUGAGCCGGUGACUAUUUUUUGAUAACCCUCUUUGGAACCUGAAAGUGUUAUGAAAAAAAAUUGAUUGAAAAAAUGAAAUGAAAAAUGAAAAUAAAAAAAUGAGGAUGAAAAGAAAAUAGAAGAAAAGAAAGAUACAAAGGAGGGGGGGGGGAGAAAAGACAAAGAAAAUGAAAUGAAAAAAAAUGAUGAAAAAAAGAGAGGAAAAAGAAAGAGAAAACAAAACAAAACAGAAAAACAAAAGAAAAAAGGUCCCUGAACUACGUUCGACUUGAUUCCGAAAGGAUACGUAGGCAGCCUCUCACUUGGGUUCAGUCACACCAAAAUAAAAAUUCAAAUUCCCCCAAAAGUAAAAUUGGGGCAGGAGUUACAAUGGUUCGGCGAUGGUUUUGCCUGAAAGGUUCCAAGUUGUAAUUCAAUCCAAAUUCUUUUUACCCCAAAUCCUGUCCAAGUCCUUCUGAUCAAUCGGUGAGAAUGUUCAAGGAUCGGAGAAUGCAACUACUUGGAUUUGAUACAAUCCAAAUGAGAGAAAUAAAAUAAGAGAGUCUUAUUGGUGAAAAUCCACACGGGCACCGUGCGGCGAUGGUAAGCAAAGAGAAAUAAAAAUGAGAGAGUCUUGUUAGUGAAAACUCGCAAAGAGAACUAUAACGCGACGGUGAGAAGAGAAAUGAGAGAGGUCAGCAUGUGAAAACCCGCAAAGGGAGCCCCUGAUCGAAAAGAGGAUCCUCACAGUCAUCGGCAUCGACAGAGUCCUGGCAAGAUUUCUCGAAUUUGAGGCAAAAGUUGUGAUGAAUUUCUAAGACUCGGACAACUUACACAGAUUAGGCAUCCAGUACAACUGACAUGUCAUGUUCAUUGAAGUCUGCAUGUACUCCAGAUAAGUCUUUCUUUUCUUUCCCCAAAAGGGACACUUCUUGUUUUAAACUCAUUCUCUAUUCCAUUUUUUGUUUUUUUUUGAAUCCCUUUCGGCCCAACUCUGUUAUGAAACUAAGUCAAAGAAAGGAUGGUAAGACUGAUUUACAGGGUUCUCAUUUGAUACAAGCUAAUAUGCAAAAAGGUACCCAGCCUCGUCGGGGGCAUCAAGUCGACCUUGACCGGCCAUGGCGGCUGAUGUUUUGAAAUUGAAAAACUCCUAAAAAGAAAGGAAAUCAAAUUCAAAUGCCUACAAAGGCAAAAUGAAGUUAAAAAGCUUGAGUCCCAUGUGGCUAACCGUCUUAGCAAAGGUUUGAAAAAUCAAGGUACCCCAAUGCUCAGAAAAUGAAGUUGGAAGAAAGAAUCUAAAAACGAAAGGCCUAUGAAUGCGAAAUAAAGUUGGAAAAGGUUAAGUCCCAUACGACUAGCCGUUGCGACAAAGUUUGAGGAGCAAAAUAAAAGAAGAACAGGCAACAAGUCAGAAGGAAAAGGCCCACAAAGGCAAAAUAAAGUUGAAAGCUGAAGUCCCACGUGACCAACCCUCAUGGCAAAGUCUGGAAAAACCAAAGGUUCUCCAGGGCCUGAAAUGAAAUCGGUCCUCAGGGAACAAACAGUUGUAGUUGAGGCCUUCAUCAAAGAAGCUAGGUCGAGAUUAAGUGAUUGAAACCGUCAAGGCCACAAAACCAACCACCGUUUCAAACUAACAAUUGUUCUUUGUUAGAAAACAGGAAACAGGAAACAGGUGUAAUACAAAGCAACUUUACAAGAAGCAGGUGCAACCAAAAAGAAACUGCACAAGGGCUAGAAAUAGCUUUGCAGCAAUAAUCAAUCCGAAAGGGAAGUUUCUUCCAAAUUCUUUCCAGCAUUUUACUCAUUUUUCUGAAAUAAAAAAUAAAUAUAAAAAAAAGAGAGAAGAAGAAAAAUGAUGAAAAAGGUCCCACACGGUAGCAUAAGGUCCCACUCCCUAGCUGAUGCCAGCAUAACCUGGUAAUCAUUACAUUAGGGUCCAGUCCCUACUCGAUGCCAGCAUAACCUGGUAAUCUUUUUCAACAUAGGGUCCCAUUCCCUAAUUAUACCCGGCAUAAUCCGAGGACCUUUUUCUUUUCCGGCAUAACCCGAUGGCCUUUUCUGGCAUAAUCCGUGGACCUCCCCGGCAUAACCCGAGGACAUUUUUCUUUUUCCGGCAUAACCUGAUGACCUUUCCCGGCAUAACCCGUGGACCUCCCCAGCAUAACCCGAGGACCCUUUUCUUUUCCAGCAUAACCUGAUGACUUUUUCCGGCAUAACCCGUGGACCUCUCCGGCAAAACCCGAGGACCUUUUUCUUUUUCCGGUAUAACUCGAUGACCUUUCCCGGCAUAACCCGUGGAUCUCCUCGGGUUAUAACCCGAUGACCUUUCCCGGCAUAACCUGUGGACCUCCCGGCAUAACCCGAGGACCUUUUUCUUUUCUGUCAUAACCCGAUGACCUUUCACAGCAUAAUCUGUGGACCUCCCCGGCAUAACCCGAGGACAUUUUUCUUUUUCCGGCAUAACCCGAUGACCAUUCCCGGCAUAACCCGUGGACCUCCCCGGCAUAACCCGAGGACCCUCUUCUUUUCCGGCAUAACCCGUGGACCACCCCAGCAUAACCUGAGGACCUUUUUCUUUUUCGGCAUAACUCGAUGAUUUUCCCAACAUAACUCGUGGACCUCCUCGGCUUAACCCGAGGACCUUUUUCUUUUCCGGCAUAACCCGAUGACUUUUCCGGCAUAACCCGUAGACCUCCCCAGCAUAACCUGAGGACCUUUUUCUUUUCCGGCAUAAUGCGAUGACUUUCCUGGCAUAACCCAUGGACCUCCUCGGCAUAAUCCGAGGACCUUUUUGUUUUCCGGCAUAACCUGAUGACUUUUCCGGCAUAACCCGUGGACUUCCCCGACAUAACUCGAGGACCUUUUUAUUUUCCGGCAUAACCCGAUGACUUUUCCGGCAUAACUCGUGGACCUCUCCGGCAUAAUUCGAGGACUUUUUUCUUUUCCGGCAUAACCCGAUGAUUUUUUCGGCAUAACCCGUAGACCUCCCCGGCAUAAUCUGAGGAGCUUUUUCUUUUCUAGCAUAACCCGUAGACCUUCCCGGCAUAACCUGUAGACCUCCCCGGCAUAACCCGAGGACCUUUUUCUUUUUCCGGCAUAACCUGAUAACUUUUCCGGCAUAACCCGUGGACCUCUCUGCCAUAACCCGAGGACCUUUUGUUUUCCGGCAUAACCCGAUGACUUCCCCGGCAUAACCCGAUGACCUUUCCGGCAUAACCCGGUCAUUUUUCCAGCAUAACCUGGUAAUUUUCCCAACUUUGGGCGUCCGAUCCCUAUUUGAUUGCCUUUUAUAUAUAGGGUCUCCACUCCAUAAUCUCUUUUUCUCAGGAAUACACAAUCCUGAUUUUAAUUGCUUUCAAUAAAGAAAUAGUUUAGAUUUUUGUUACAAUAACUCACGAAAUUUUCCUAGUAAAAACUGUGACAGAAUAUUUCAUUCAUUUGUUCGCUUUGGUGCCUGAACAGGUUUCUACCAUGAGGUACAAGGUUUGAGAUGACCAAAAGAAGAAGUCUCAACCCAAAUAAAAGAAAAUAAGAACAAGAAAAGAAGUUGAACUCUAAGUAUAGAAGCGGAGAAAAGAGGCGGACUGCUCAAGAUAUGAUUGAAGUCACAAGCUUUGCAUGUCCCGCCUUGAUCCAAAAAGCUGAAGAAGAAUGAAUCAGCAGUUGCAGCUAACGAGCAUCAAGAUUCAGAUCAGAGUCUGCAAGAAGAACUAGCCAAGACUCAAGAUCAAGCUUCAGAAGAUUUAUAGAUAGGAAUCUUGUAACUCGUAGUUGAUAGGCUUAGCUAGUUUAGCUUUUUAUUUUUCAUUUUGGUGUAAUAAGGAGUUCAACAAGCAGAAACAUCAACAACAACAGUGAAAUCACAGUUUCUCGGAAGUCCCAGCUACCAAAACUUCCAGAACUAUACCGACCUGAUUCUUUUAUAGUCAAGGAUAUGUAGGCACCUCCGAAGCAAGGUUCGGUCAAACUUUUUCAAAAUGCUUCCAAAUGGAGUUUCAAACGGGCAAAAAUUGCUCGUAAUUGCUCACUUUAUCUUUGCCCGAAAACUCUUCAUAUUUUUAAGCAAAGAGGGGCAGCCGUGAGCACCUAAUUUUUGCCCUACAUGAAAAUAACUCCUAAAAAUGGACCAAAAAUAAUUUUAAUUGAUUUUUAGGAAUGUUUUCUUUAAUCAGUUACAUUUUUUUUAUGCCAUCCUAGGUUCAAUUUGCAUUUAGGAAUAAAUUACAUUGAGUUAAUUGCAUUAUUAAGGAAAAAAUUACAAAAAUAGUCAUUUUUACAUAUUUAACUUUUAGUCUUUAGAAAUUAGUAUUUUUACUUAGUUUUAAGUUAAUUAGUUGUUUUAAUAAAUAAAGAAUUUUAUUUUCUACAAAAAAAUAGCUUAAUUUAGGGUUUUAAUUAAUUAAAGAAAAGAAAAAAGUAAAAAUAAAUAGAAGAAAAUAGGAAAAAAUGUUUGGUCUUAUUUAUUCAAAAUUGGGUCAAUCCUUAAAUUGAUCCGAAUUAAUUAACCCAAGUCUGAUCCUUUAGCCCAAGCUCAUUACUCUAACCUACCCAAACCCCUUACCCUUUAAUAAAACUUAUAUAUAGAAAGAAGACAACAUCAGAUGAUUAAGGACCACACCCUGAAGAAGCUAAAAAAAUGGCGCUCCAUUUUCUCCUCUAAAAAGAGACGAAAGCUGACUCUUCUCCUGGACUCUAUCAACGACAUACCCCUCUCCAUUUCUCAACAAGAACGAUCAGAUUUCCACAUCCAAUCUCAUACACACGAAAAUACACAAACAUAUUAAAAGUUCGAAUCCGAAAAAUGGUUUCAAACAAAAAUCAAAAGGAAGCUAGAAUUUGAGGUUCGAAUUGGUUGGCUUGUUGUUGCUGAGUUUUCCGUUGAAGAUGUGCUGCUGAGUUCCGUUUUCAAUUCCAUCCUUUAUCUGGGCCCUAAGUUCUAGUUUGAUAGCUUGUUGAGUAGCUGAGCUCCAUUCCGCAUCCUAGAUUUUUUUAAUUGGCCAUUUACAACUAUUCUGGAUUGUUUAGGUACGUCUUCCUAUUCCUAUGGUCCUCUUAUUUGAUUAUGAAUGAAUAUUUGAGGGCUCAUUCUAUGAAUAUGCUAAAUUUUGUGGAAUCUAAAAAUUGAUGGGUUGUGUAAUUGUAAGGUAUUAUUGGACAACACUGAAUCAGAAGAAUGAUUUUUGAUUAAUGUGCCUGAAAUUUUUGUUCUCUGUAUUUGAAUGCUGAGUUUUUUUUCGAUUUCUCUUGUGGAAGGACACGCCGAUUUCUUUGUAAAAAAUGGUGGGUUUGCUAUUUUUCCAGUUUUUUUUGGAAAUCGGAUUCCUUCCUUCGAUUCUGUUGAUGUUUCCUUUUUAAAGGAAGAAGAGAAUAUUGAUUUUAGAAUUUUAUAAUCCAAUUUGUUUUUCUGCUUGUACUUUGCUUUGGUGGUAAAUUUUGAGCAGGGGGUCUUAUUGCGCAAGACCCCAGGGCUGCCUCAAUUUUGCUGAAGUUGAAUGAAGCAUAAUUCUUUUCUCUAUGAAAGCAAAGCUAAAAAGCUCUAUGAUUUUGGUUAUUCUCCUUUGCUUUUUUUACUUUUCCCAAUGCUUUUAUAUAGCAAAUCAAUAACCGAGAAGAUGAGUUGAGCUUAACACUAUGUUAUAUAUGUAGACUUUCUGGUUAAUUGCUAUUUUAUUUUGUAUUAUCUUCUAAGUAAUCAAAUUCCAGGAGCACCGUUUGUUAGUAAUAUGUAUCCUUAAUCUUUGAGCAUUUACCCACAAGUCAUGUCUAUAAAUUUUUGAGCUUGUCACAUGAACUCAAAUUAAUUUUAGAAAGUAAAUAUGAACAUCUGUAGUUUGCUUUUGGCACGCAAUUAAAUUAUUACAACUAUGGGUACGGUUCCCGUGACGUGGUUGUGAUACCUAAUUUAAAAUUAGAUUAAAGUAGAAGUGCCUUUAGUUUGCCUUAGUGAAAUACCAAUCUUUUCUUCGAAAAAAAUAAAAUAAUUUGGGGUGUGUCAUACACAAAUAAAAAUCCUAUAAUCUAUGGCGCUCACAUAAAUACAAAAUUAGUAUAGAAAAUGCCUUGAACUUUCAUAGUUUGCUUUAGGCGCAUUAAUUAAAUAAUUAUCAUAGCUACGGAUACGGUUCCCGUGACGUAGUCGUGACGUUUAAUUACUGAAAUCCGAGAGUACAUUUAUGUGACCCAGCAAUAAUUUAAUCUUUAAUAAUUUAAACAUGUUGUAGAUCGUGGGUACGGUUCUCGUGGCAUGAUUCGCAGUGUGUAUCAAACAAACAAAUGUACGACAAUCGUAACUUGUUCCAGAAUAAUUCUAAAAAAUAAUUAAAAUCGUUUAUAAAGUUUAAAAGGCACAAGAGGUUUAAAUAUGUAAUAAGUCAGAUAAUUAGACUAAUUAUUAAUAGUUAAGCGACCGUGCUAGAACCACGGAACCCGAGAAUGCCUAACACCUUCUCCCAGGUUAACAAAAUUCCUUAUCUAGAAUUUCUGGUUCCGUAGACUUUUAAAUAAAGUCAAUUUUCCUUGAUUUGGGAUUUAAAAUAAACCGGUGACUUGGGACACCACUAUAAAUAUCCCAAGUGGCGAUUCUAAAAUAAAUAAAUAAUCUCAUUUCGAUUAUUGUCACUUUAAUUGGAAAAACUCUCUUAUAUCCCCUCUCGGGUGGUAAAAAAGGAGGUGUGACACUUUUCGACCGGGGUUAGGAAUUGUUAUAAAUUGUAUUAUUAUGAGUAAUUGAGCAUAAAUUAAUGGGUUUGCAUAAUUAUUGGCUAGUUUCGUAGCGUUGUGCAUCAGUUUGAGUCGUCGGAAGAGCUUGGAUGUCGGUUAUGGAACUUCAGAGCAAGGUAAGUCUCUUUUCUAACCUUGUAAGAGAUAAUUAACCCCAUAGGUAAACUAAAUUAAUAUGCACCUCUAUUUGUGGGGGCUACGUACGCAUGAGGUGACGAGAGUCCGUACGUAGCUACUAGCUAUGCCUAUGUCCGAGUAGUUUUAGGUUUAUACCAUGCCUUAUUGAUAUUAUUGUUGAUUUAUGUUUAUUGUUUGCCUUGAGAAGAAGCGAGAUUGAGCUUUCUUAGUAAAUAUCUUGAAAAGAGUUGAAAUUGAGGAAUUUGAGAUCUUAAAAGUUUUCAUUUAAACUUCGUAUUUUUGAAAAGGAUUGUAGGAAUAUUAUAAUAGCUUAAGAAAUCUAUUUGUAACCGCGUCGCAUGUAUUUUUCGCGAGCGGGGAAAAUUUCUUUAAAAACCUACAAGUUGAAUUUUCCUUACUUUGAAAAGAAUCAAGAAAGAGAUAUGAUUUCAAUGGCAAAUUUAUAUUUUACCACGUCGCAAGUAUGAUCCGCGAGCGGGGUGAUUCCUUAAAUUUAUAUUUUACCGCGUCGCACGUAUGAUUCGCGAGAGGGGUAUUCCCUUUUACUACUCUUAUGGGAUCGGGCCAUUCGCCUCGGCAGGAUUUAUGUACCACACUCUCAUGGGAACGGGUCGUUCGCCUCAGCAGGUUAAUAGAUGCAUCUAUGGUUCACGCCGUUCAACCC
rnacentral:lncRNA from 1 species